rnacentral:misc_RNA from 1 species
CCGGACAAGCAUACUGCGAGCACGACGAUGCCGCAUAGUCGGCGAACCUUGGAUCGUCUACAUCGCCAGUCGAUUGCUUCGAUGACGGAACCCGCCGCAAUUUGUGCGCGCAUAAGCUUGCCCUGAUCUGAUGAUGGACCACGGUGCGCCGUGUCCUCACCGGACACGGCACCCGUCGUGCGAUCGGAUCAGGUACUUGGGGGACGGUAGAGUUGGUGCGGCGUAUUUUUGACCACGUCCCGAUAGUUCACGGACACGCAGCGUGCAGGCGGGACG